rnacentral:rRNA from 1 species
GCUUAGACGUAAACCCAGGCAAUACCACACCCCACUGCCCGCCAGAGCACUACAAGCAAUAAGCUUAAAACUCAAAAGACUUGACGGCACUUCACCGCCCUAGAGGAGCCUGUCCUAUAAUCGAUAAUCCACGCUAAACCCCACCUGCCCUAGCCCCAAACAGCCUAUAUACCGCCGUCUUAAGCCCGCCUUACAAAAGACCCAGACACAGCGAGCCAACUAGUCCAACGCUAACACGCCAGGUCAAGGUGUAGCCAACGGGCAGGAAGAGAUGGGCUACAUUUUCUAUACCUAGAAAAUAACCAACAGUGCCAUGAAAUCUUGCACUAAAAGGAGGAUUUAGUAGUAAGCCGAUCAAGACCUGUUCGACUGAACAACGCCCUGAAGUGAGU